rnacentral:tmRNA from 1 species
GGGGCUUUAAUGGUUUCGACGGGGUGGUGAAAGCUGCUCGUUGAUUCAGGUCGAGAGAGAGUCAAAUCUCGUAAAUCAAGGCUCAAAACAAAUAAUAAAUGCAAACAACAUUGUAGCAUUCAAGCGUCAAGCAGUAGCUGCUUAAACUUUUUCGUGCGCUUCUCUCUAGUUUGACUCCGUUAAGGAUUAGAGAGCAACCCCCAACGGAUGCUCUAAUAAGUUCCCUUUGGUGGACUUGUUAGAAAAGACUUUACCAAAGCAUCCCACCGUUCGGGAUAAUGAACGGUCCCUGCCUUAAGGGUAAACGAGGCUAAACCUGUGAACGAUGCGGGGGUGAAUACCCAUUUCGGACAUGGGUUCAAUUCCCAUAAGCUCCAUAA